GAAGAAAGAGGGAGGCGCGCCUAACACAUGCAAGUCGAACGAGCGAGAGAGAGCUUGCUUUCUCGAGCGAGUGGCGAACGGGUGAGUAACGCGUGAGGAACCUGCCUCAAAGAGGGGGACAACAGUUGGAAACGACUGCUAAUACCGCAUAAGCCCACGACCCGGCAUCGGGUAGAGGGAAAAGGAGCAAUCCGCUUUGAGAUGGCCUCGCGUCCGAUUAGCUAGUUGGUGAGGUAACGGCCCACCAAGGCGACGAUCGGUAGCCGGACUGAGAGGUUGAACGGCCACAUUGGGACUGAGACACGGCCCAGACUCCUACGGGAGGCAGCAGUGGGGAAUAUUGCACAAUGGGGGAAACCCUGAUGCAGCGACGCCGCGUGGAGGAAGAAGGUCUUCGGAUUGUAAACUCCUGUUGUUGAGGAAGAUAAUGACGGUACUCAACAAGGAAGUGACGGCUAACUACGUG
rnacentral:rRNA from 1 species